CUCUCACCUGAUUCCUGACAGCUCUGCUCUCUGUUCAAUGGUUUGAAUCCAUUCUCUGUUCUCCUCGACACAUCCACUGGAGUCUGCAAUGCUGCUGAAGACUUCAGGUCAAACCUGAAUGUUGAAAUAUUUGCAUGUCUUCUAUUUCUCUCACUGUUUCAUGCAGUAGUCUUGUUCUACUUCAUGUCACAGGAAACAGCAGAUAUCAUCGGCACGAUCACAGAAGUGGUUUGAGGGGGAAAGAUAAGAGCCAAGCUCACAUAGAUGAAGUGGGCAGGGCUUCCAUACAUGGCUUGUCACCGAAAACAAAGAAAUAAUAAACACAGUUUCCAUGAAAAUA